GGAAGCAAGCUUGUAUAAAGGUCAAUGUGGAGCCCUUCCAGCCGUGCUGAGAGGAUUUGUUUGUGUGGAACCUGGUGGCUUGUGUUGCCAUGGUAAUUCUAGUUUUGAGGCAUGUUGAAGAAUUUGUCUGAGUGGCAGAAGCUUUCUACGCGGCCCGAGGAGAUAGCCAUGUGCCUUUGCUACCACUCAUAUUUGAGAGGUGACUUCGACAAGAUGACUUUGACAAAGUGACUUUGACUUGACAGACAUAUUAACACGAAACAGGCUAUGUCUACCACAUUCUACAAGUUUCUUUCACCACGAAAGAGGCCAGGAAGCUGGCUUCUGGCCCCACAGGGGAGUCCUCCCAAUAUGCUUGUUUUCCCUGGACUCUCCCAGAUUGAGAUGUUAGCACAGUUGAAGGAUAACUUUUCAACUGUCCUACUGCCUGACCUUGAGCUCGAUUAAUGGGUCCCUGCAUGAUUUCUCGGAAGGAUGCAGAGGUAACAUGGUUCACCAAUGGCAACAGCCUCAUUCAGGAUGGACAGAGGUCCACCUCCAAAGCUCCACCAACUUUAGCCUGGAGAUUGGGCCCUAGUCAAGAGACACUGCCAGAGGUCACUAGAGCUUCACUGAAAGGGUCCCUGUGCUACAGAGUUGCAGUGUGGAUUCACCACACAUCCAUUUGCAGUUGAAGAAGAAAGACCCUGGCCAGCAGGAGGAGAAUUCAGCCUCAAGACUCCUUCCUGUCUCCCAUUAAUGGGCUCCUACCCAUGCCCCCACCGCAAAGAUAUUACUGUUACUGCUUUCAUGAAGGUUCAGAAAGUCCCAUGAUUGGUACUUCUAGUCACAAGAGAAAGGGGUGGGGGGAUGAGAUGCCAAAGCUUUUAAGUCCAGACUCCAUUUUAGGGAAGCUGACCUGAGUUUGAACCCAGGUGAACUAACAGGAUGGUACCUAGCAUUAGUUUCCAAGUUGCUCCCCCCCCAGCCCCCCCCCCCCCCCCGCAACAAAACCUGAGCCUAGCUCCAGUCUCUAUGUUAAUCCCCACAAAAGCAGAGUUUACCAGUGUCUCUAGGUUAUUCCUCCAACAAACCUGCAUUCCAAGUUACAAGCCCACCCCUUGCCUAAUGACCACCAAUUCAGAGGGGAGCAGAAGUUAAGUUUAUAUGACUCUCAGCACCAGUCAAUUGUAUUAGAGGCCACAAUAGCUUUCCAAUUAGAUGCUUGUACACGUACUUCCUGCUUGCUACUUACUAUAAAGCCUUGCCCCAUAGGCAUUCGGGGCUCCCCCACCACCAAAACCAUCCUGUGUGAUGGUGGUGCAUUGGGGGUGGGGGUGUAGGAGAGCUAGCUGGAAUAGAAUAAAGACCCUGCUGUGAAUUGCAUCAGAUUGGCUCCUGUGUGUGUUUCUGGAGAUCACUAACAUUUCCCUUAUAUAACAUAAGCUCUUUGGGUAGACCCCAGGCUUAAGUUCCCAAAGCUACUGCUGCUAAGGAAACCCUGUUUUGUAAAGAUUGAGAGUUACUACAAUAAAGCUUUUCUAACAGAACCUAGUCCCCCAAAAAGUGUUUAAUCAACGUUAUUCUAUUCUCCAGAGCUGUGAGCAUGAGCGGUAAAUGAUCACAA
rnacentral:lncRNA from 1 species